GAUAUUGUGGCAUAGUGAUUAGAGCGUUCGCUUCGGAUGCGGAAGGUAGCGGGUUCGAACCCCGGCAAUUCAUACG